UUUUUGGGAUCACCGGAGGCAUGUGGGACACCCUGUGCAUGUAAUUUGGGAUCUCACUGUGACAAAGAGUUUACGUUGUCGGAAGUUUGAGGGGAGGGUUUUUUGUUUUGUUUUUGACCUCCAAAUAGUCUACUCAAAUCAGCAUAAACCUGCAUCCCUUCUGGGGCUUUUUGCAGAUCCAGAAGUAGGUAUCACAACCAAGAGUGACAUCGACACUGGCUCUGCCAAAACUGCCAAGAAGCACAAAAAUUUCAGCUCAUUUUUCCAGAGGACACAAUUACCCUGCAAAGUGUACUGCACUUAAGCUGAGAAGUACCUCCGAAGUGAAAUAACUUAGCUGAACCCAACUAACAUGCUAUUUUGUAUGCAAGAGUCCUGGUCCUUUCCCAGGAUUGCCUUGCAGGCUGUACCAAGCGGACCACCCUUCACCACCAGUCAUGGGCUAUAGGCCACAUCCCCCUCCUCCAUCUACUCUAUUUGUUAAGAGGACCUGAACUGGCUGAGUGGCUGGACAACUCUUUUGACAGUGAAGAGGACUGUGCACGGUGACAGACAAUCGUGUUUGUAUAUACAUUUUAAGAAGGUGUCAGAUCUACCUGAAUGCUCUCCCUGCCCAUCCUGUCCCCUCCACUUUGUCCUUCCUACUGUCCCCUAAUCUACCUUUCAUCGUUUUGUCUCUG